rnacentral:lncRNA from 1 species
UUGGAUGGGUUAAUGUUGAAUGGCAUGUUAAUAAAUCACUUAUUGGAAGAAGUCUUACCAUUAUGCUUCAUGUGUAUAUUUAGAUGUCUGAGAAGAAAAAUUGUAUAUGUCAUUAUUAUCUAAAUUUGGAAGCUAGGUUACUGAUAAAUGCAUGCAUAUUUCUUAUAUUGAUUGAUACAUGUGUGUUCAUAUAUAUAAGUCAUAUACAAUUUUUACUGCUCAAGCAUCA